UACGUAGGGGCCUAGCGUUGUCCGGAUUUAUUGGGCGUAAAGAGCGUGUAGGCGGCCCGGUAAGUCCGCUGUGAAAGUCCAGGGCUCAACCCUGGGAUGCCGGUGGAUACUGUCGGGCUCGAGUCCGGAAGAGGAGUGUGGAAUUCCUGGUGUAGCGGUGAAAUGCGCAGAUAUCAGGAGGAACACCAAUGGCGAAGGCAGCACUCUGGGACGUGACUGACGCUGAGACGCGAAAGCGUGGGGAGCAAACAGG
rnacentral:rRNA from 1 species